AUGAAAACAGUGUAGCCCUCACCAUCAGUGCCCUCUGCCUUUUCCUUAACAAAUCUCACUGAUGCAAUGGCUCGUUCAAGGUUAUGUUGUUGAUCAUUUAACUUGAACACUAGAUAUGCCGCAUAACUAGUCUUUCGAGUAAGUUGUUUUGAGCCUAUCUUUCCAACGACGUUAAGCCAACAAACGCGAUGAAGCGGCCACAAGAUAUACCCAGGUUCAUGAAGAUAAUUCCAUGUCCAAUAUUGUUCAGAAGUGUCCAUCCAUGUAAUUGAAAGCUCUGUUGCGCCGAUCCAUACAC